UUGAUCUAAAAGUAUUUCUUCAAUCAAUUGUUUUUAAGUAUCUUUGCCUUGUCUUUUUGUAUUGAUGUGAUAAAUGCUUUUUAACAGUACUAGGGGUCGUUUGUUAGUCCUCUGCCUUGAGCAUAUUCAAAAUUCUGAUUGUUGUUCCAUAGCAUUUUUUAUUUUUCGAUGGUUGGAUCAUCUUGCCAUUCGAGAUGAUUUUUGGAAGCCAGUGCAAAUUUGGAAUCAGGAUCGUCAUUUGCUCAUAUGUCGGAUGGGUGCUGAAGAGGAUGAUCGUGAAUCACACUUAGUUUCCAUUGAUUUGUGUUUCAGAGAAUUCCAGUCCUGAAUGUAACUUAGAGCGGUAGUAACAUGGGUGAAAUUGCUAUGCGGAUCCGAAAGGGUUAUUGAAUUACCCUUCUUUUCUCUGGAGAGAACAACAGGGCCCGGGAAGGAUGAUUUGUGCUUCAAUUUUUUUUACCUGGUGAGAACAACAGGGGCACGGAAGGAGGAUCUUUGCUUCAACUUUUUUACCUGUUGAACUCCUCCUCUGUUUAGCAAAUCUAAUGGUUCUGUUAUUUUGAAUCCAUCCAGCUAUAUUGCAUUGGCUUAUGUUGGUCAUGCACUCCACAACAGAAUUUUAUAAUGUUCUUGCUUUUUCUUUGAAAAUGUUUUUAUCAUUUAAUUUGACUGGUUGGUCAUGCACUCCACAAAAAAUAUGACUCAAUUAAGGAACUACUAAUUGCAGGGCUCAUUCUCCCUCCAACAAACUUCCUGCUGAUGGAUGAUGUUUUUGAGGGGCGGGCUGUCGAGACACUAAUGGUGGUAGUGAUGAGUCACAGUCUCACAGAUCGAGUAGCAUUAUGGCUAACGAACACACUAUUAAUUAGGGUGGAAUAUGAUCCAAGUGUUAGAAGCCAGUACAAUCAAGGCUUGUGAUUCAUCCACUGACUGCUCCUAUACUCUGCCCGGAAAUGACCAUAAUGAGAGUUUUGCACGCAGCUUUCAAAGUUUGGUAUGCAAUAUAAUAUAUGUCUGUAUAAACUGCAAUUAAGUUAAAGCAAACUAUAUAUAUUCGUUUUUAGGAAAUUCGGGUGGUGACUUACACAAAAUAACAUCAACUAGUAAACCAUUCAACAUUUAUUUAUUAUUUUCUAAAAUCCCAAACAUCCAAAGCUUAUCUGAAGGUAAAGCUUUUUGGGCAGUAUCCUAUGAUGCCUUUGGUGUUACAGUUGAUCAUGGCUUUUGCAGCUUGAUCAAAGCAGAUUCUAACCUCGACGAGGUACUUUUCUUUGCAUUGAAUUUUGACAUUCACAUUUAAAGCACGACGGAUUGCGUCAAGAAUCUGGGUAUCCCUGUACUGGCGACCACGAGCAAUUCCACCAUUUUGUAAAACACGCGUGAUAUUGUUCCUGUGCAACAGAUCCAAUGCUUUAGUGAAGUAUUGAGGUUGAUUGAAGAGGGUAAAGGAAGCCCUGCCAUGGUCAUUCCACUCGUGUGCCCAAAAACCAUCAUCAGGCCGAAGCUUUGCUCCGGAGUUGGCAAAUGGCCAUAGACCAUGGAUGGUGAAAUCAGAUUUCACCUUACUCUCUUCGCAACGGUCACCAAUGGAAGCACAAUAGCCUGGGGGCCAUAUGAGUGCCAAACCAAAGCCAUCCCAUGGGUUUUUUUGGUAACUCUUGGUUACAAGUAAAAAGAAAAUAAGUAAACUUAAAGGAAUUUUCAUUGUGUGUAUGUCUUUUAAUUUGCAGAUGAGAUGUGCUGUGUGUAAUGCUAAGCAAGCUCAAGUAUUAUGUGUGCGUUUAUAUAGGCUAUAAGCCACUGCCUGUCAUUUUCUUAGUUGUUAAUUAUUUCCUAUAAAUGAAUGAAUUUGUUUGUUUUA